rnacentral:rRNA from 1 species
AGGAUUAACGCUGGCGGCGUGCAUGAAACAUGCAAGUCGAGCGCGGCGCGUGGCUUCGGUCACGCGUCUAGCGGCGCACGGGUGAGUAACACGUGAGCAACCUACCUUCGAGUUCGGGAUAGCCCUGGGAAACCAGGAUUAAUACCGGAUGUGGUCACAACGGGACAUCCCGAUGUGAAAAAAGGCGUAAGCCGCUCGAUGACGGGCUCGCGGCCUAUUAGCUUGUUGGUGGGGUAACGGCCUACCAAGGCGACGAUGGGUAGCUGGUCUGAGAGGACGAUCAGCCACACUGGGACUGAGACACGGCCCAGACUCCUACGGGAGGCAGCAGUUAGGAAUUUUCCGCAAUGGGCGAAAGCCUGACGGAGCAACGCCGCGUGUGUGAUGAAGGCCUUCGGGUUGUAAGCACUGUCGGAGGGGAAGAAUGAAUGACGGUGCCUCCAAGAAGCCCGGCUAACUACGCGCCAGCAGCCGCGGU